rnacentral:lncRNA from 1 species
AAAACAAUGCAAAUCUUUGACCUCAUGAAUUUUCCAAUCAAAGUACAUGUCACAGAUUACAAUUUAGGCACAUCAAGCUCGGCACAAAGGAAUAGGCCAGGUAAUGUUUAAUAGAUCAGGAUUAAGUAGCACAUAGGGCAGCAAGACAGUACAAAUUAUUGAAAGUGAAGCAUUUACACAGGAGGCUAUUGACAAUCAGAUAGCAGUCCUUCGCCAAGGACGGUUGAAGUUCCUCAUCGCUCAAAGAAAAGGUCGCUCAAAGAAAAACUGAGUAGCAUUGGCCUGAAAGUGAAGAAAAAACCAUAUUCCUGGAGAAGAUAUCUCAACAUUUUUACAACAAUAGAUAUCUACAGUGACCAAAAAGGAACUAUCAAGAAGGCAAGAUUAGUAAACUGACAUCAAGCAACUCAUGUAUGUUUCCUUUAAAUUUGUUUGGGGAGUGGUAGAAAAUGCAGCCGAAACUACCAAGAGAAUCGAGAUGGUUUAGUACGACAUAACACAAGCAGGACAUAGUAGUAGUUUGAGCCAAUCUAAGAGCACUAUUUUAAUAUGGCAUAGCAAUAUAAACUUCAUCGAAACAUCUUGCCAUCUAGAUAACUGGUCAUCAGGGCUGAAGCAAAUGAUUCUCGACGUCAAUCGACCAUGUAGAGUCGUGCAUGAAGAAGGCAUUGUCAUUUAUCAGUAAGAGGUUAGUCAGCAAAUAUGCCACCUAAAGACGUACAUCAUGAAGAAAACGGGUCGAUAUUAGGUGCACGUAAAAUGUGUCAAAUAGAUAUAAGAACAAACGACUCUACAUGUUGAAGUAUAACUGGGGCAGCUGGGUUAAAAACAUGACGACAACUGCGACCAACUCAAUCAGGAAACUAAUACCUAUAAAGGGAAAUGAAGGCAUGUCUCAAGAGAUAUAAGGAACAAAGUUUGUUAUCUAUAUUGAAUGAAAAAGAUCAAUGUAAACUCGCCAUGAAAUGAAUCCAAAUAUAUGGGGCUCCAUGGGCAAACAACACCUUUGUUGCUUCAUGCUGAACUACUUUAUGUAAGAGAAAAUUUUAAGCUUUAGUGGCCAGCAAGCAGGCAGGUGAAGUGUCAUAUUAGUAAAUGUGCAAAAGGUUAUCUAUUGAAUACCAUGUGAAUGGAACAUGUCUGCCUUGCAUACAAUUUGGAGACUAAAGAGGCAAACAACCCAAAUAGGCACAUUACUUAUAAUUAGGACAAUAAAUUUGCGUGCUUUGGCCGUCACUGAUUCCAUACAUAUAACUCAAAAAAGGAAUAAUGCCACAGUUUGGGUUACGGAUUCUUGAAAAUCAGCUUCGGCUUGGAUUCUAAGAAUCAGCUGCAGCUGCAGAUUCCGAAAAUCUGACGUUGUGGGUAUCGCCGCCCGAGCUUGGGGCGUGGUGCGAUGCAGGUCAGGCAUGGUGCAGCUGGUCCUUGGGGGAGAGCGGACGGAGCUGUGGAUGGCGCAAACAGAGGAUAGUGACUCGAAGAGCGGACGCAGCCGACGGAGCUUGCCAUUAGCUUGGGCGUGGCCGGAGGUCAGGGAGGAGCAAAGGCGCUCAGAUCCAUUCGCUUGGUAGUGGCCGGAGGUUGGGGAUGGGUAGAGGCCUUGUUUGGUUCAGCUUUUAUCGAUGGAUUCCGCUGCCGUGCAGUAGAAUCUGAACCAAAGGGCGAACCCAGCAGAAUCCGAUUUAAGAAAUCCGCUGCCAAAAUCUGAACCAAAAGCGGAAGCAGCCCGGGACGUGCUUUUCAAAAUCUAAUUCCGCUGCGGGCCAAAAUCUAAAAAAGUUGUAUCAGCUGGUUUGCCAAAUGACCUACAUCUUCUUCACAUCAGAUUUUCCACAGCUGUUUUUCCAAAGCAGAUUUUUCACAACUGCUUUUAGAAAUCAACAGCCGAACCAAACAGGGCCAGAGAGGUUGGACGAACUUCGGGCAGGUACGGAUGCGGCAGACCCAUCCGCUUAGGAACCGCCGGGGCCGACGCUCAUGGAGCCGCCGGAACCUGACCACCACGAGUGUCAUUGAGGGAAAGGCCAACGCAGAGGAUGGGGGCGGGGCGCGCGCGCGGAGCUUGCGGUACUCCCUCACGCCGCCGCCGCCGUGCUCCACCCGAUCCUCCAGCUGCAAUAGGCGCGCCUCCCCGUUGAUGUUAUUGCCGUCGCGGUCGCUAUGGGGACGAGGGGAUUUGGGUGUCGUUGACCUGGGCUGCGGGUGGAUACUGGAUGAGGCUGCGGUGGCAGUUUUGUUGUAGUUUCGAGCGAAAAUAGGGGCAAGGGCACAAAACGAAUCGUUUUGAAUCUGCUGAAUCGCCAAAAUCGCUGCUUCCGGAUUCCUUGCGCUGGUAGUUCAUUUUUGGAAUCGGAUUCUAGGAAGCAACACAGGAAUCCGGCGUGUUUAGAAGCCUAGAAUCUGAGAAUCAGAAGCUGUAGCCCAAACAAAGGCCAACUUAGUAGGAAAGGUGAGCAGGGAAGCAUUCUAGUCAGGUAACCGGUGGUCUGACUGAACAAUUUUACGAAGUGAGGAACUGAGGAACCGAUCCUUUGGUUCGGAACCCUCUCUUACUAUUUUCGUCAAGGCACAUAGAGAACUAAAAUGCAGCUAUUAUUAAAUUCCCCACCAGCCACAAUGGCAACUACAGUUGGCCGCCUAUAUGAACCAGUUAAUAGUCACUAAAAUAUCAUGUAUCCACAACAAACCAAGAAAGAGAUACCUCCAAAUGGAGGAGGCAAUGUCAACAAGACAGUUCAAAGGAAAUAACACAUCAAUACUACUAAGAAAACGAAGAUUGGUAACUGCAAUGCAUCUAUUGCAGUAGUACAUUGAGCACCUGAGACAGUAACCGAAUCCGAAGGAGCAGUAGCCACGCACCCAGCAACGACCCUGGCACCAAACUCUAACCUGGCAGUACUAUAAAACACAUUGACACUCAAUUCACAGCACAUAAAUAAUUAAUGCAUAGUCAUAAGUCAAAGAUAUAUUUCACAAUGUUACCAAAGCCAUUUUCAGAAGCAAAUACCAGCACUUUAAAUAUACUGGAACUAAAAUAAACCAAAACUAAAAAAACUACUAACUAAUGUGGUCGAAAAACACCAGAUACUGAUCAAUGAUAUGUACCCACCUUAUUUUACUAAAUCUUCCACUACCAAAUGUGAUGUUAAAUAUCAAUUGAUAAUUACUCAUUUGUAUCUGCAAAGAAGUAUCAUGCUAAAAAUGAAAUACCAGAUCAGUUAGAGAACACAAUUAUGCAAAAUACUAAUAAGAAAUCUGUAAAUAUUGUAAUCAGUAUAUUUUUAAAAUAAAGCAAAUGCGCCCAUCUUAUCUUUCUUAUGUAGGUCAUGCCAGUUUUAAGCGAACUCUUAACUUCAUUCACAAAUUAUCUUAUACACGAAAAGAAAGAUUGCAUCCACAUAUCUAAAUUAAGCUCAAUGCUUUCGACAGAUGGAUUCUUCUUAUGUAACAGUACAACCCAACCACUGAGGAUCCAAUGCACAACAAGGCAGAACGGAAAAAUCAAGGAAAUUGUACAACAAACAUUAACAGGGGCCAACAAUAUAACAACAGGGGGGAAAGCACUACAACCUGACCAUUAGUACUAUCGAUGGCAAUGACCAUGGCCUCAAGGACAUGAAUAGAAUCAAACAUCGAGCGAAAUAGAAAAUCCCCGAAGCAAGAAGAUUAAUAUUGACUCGCACAUCUUACUGCCGCCUUUCUCGUGCUUCAUGCCUAGCAACAAUUCCUAGCAGUUAUUUUCCAGAAACCAUCUUGUUAUUAUAGAAAACCCCAAAGACUGCAAAAGUACAAGCAGAACACAAGAAUGUGAAUGAAGUUACAAAAUUUAUAUACAUUCAUGCCAUUUAACUAAGAAAACAUGAUCAAUCAUACCAGAAGGAGCCAAUUAAAGUCAAUAUAAAGUACAAAAGACUGUCAUUAUUUAAGAUGAAUAUGCUUAAAGCCUCUCUCUGAUUUAGCCAAAGCAGGAGAACAUCUAAUAUAACAAAAAUAGCAGGGUGAGGUGUUUUUAUAAUCAUCACGUAGAACUAAAAAGUAUCACUUCCAUACAACCCAGAAUAUAAAAUUAGAUGGAAAAAACAUGCAUGGACUCAACUCUUCAGUAAAAUAAUAGAUGUCUAUUCAAAGCUAUAUGUACUGCUAGCAAAACAUUAUGUUAAAUAAUAGGAAAAAGGAGAUGCCAUAUCAAUGGAUAGAUAUAUGUCUAAGAAUUUUGGCUUAGAGGCCGAUGAUGCAGUGUAUGGAGGCAGUGUUCAUAGGCCUAGAGGCAGCCUUAGAGGCGCCAAAUACUCAUAUUGUAGAUGCCCUUACUACACAGAGCCUAACUAAGAAUGCAAUAACCAGUCCUAGGCUAGUGCCUUUUCCUAUACAUCUUAAAAACUACAGCCACGUCUCCCAUAAUUUAUGGGAUGAUGCAAAUCUGCCACUUGGCCAUCGUUUACACAUUCUUAAAUCCGAGACAUACUUUAAGUCUACAAGAUCCCCAAGUCAGAACAGGGAAACAAAUAUAUGUCCACAGUAGCCAACAAGCGUCGGUGCAUUUCCUAUAUGUUUCCCUCCAUUCCAACUGUAAAUGGUCAAAUCUGGCAUCAUAAUUCAAAACAAUUGAAAGCUAGCUAGCUAUUGCUUUCAAACUUAAUAAAGUAGCUUAAAAACCACAUUGACCUAUGGUGUAAUUAAAUGCGGCUAUCAAUCUUCACAUGUAUGAUGGUGGUUAACUAUGCAGUAUGCAGUAUGGACAAAAAAUUAACCAGCGCACCCUGAGUGCAAAGAAGGAAUCAUCAAGGCGAAAGUAACAAGGGGCAAGGACGAGNNNNNNNNNNNNNNNNNNNNNNNNNNNNNNNNNNNNNNNNNNNNNNNNNNNNNNNNNNNNNNNNNNNNNNNNNNNNNNNNNNNNNNNNNNNNNNNNNNNNNNNNNNNNNNNNNNNNNNNNNNNNNNNNNNNNNNNNNNNNNNNNNNNNNNNNNNNNNNNNNNNNNNNNNNNNNNNNNNNNNNNNNNNNNNNNNNNNNNNNNNNNNNNNNNNNNNNNNNNNNNNNNNNNNNNNNNNNNNNNNNNNNNNNNNNNNNNNNNNNNNNNNNNNNNNNNNGGCACAGAUGCUUUGGCCGGUGGUGUAGCAAGUGCGGCCUACUGCACCCCUGCCCCGUCUUACCUAACUCGCAAAUAUAGAAUAUAUAUCAUAGAUGAAAAUGUAGAGGUGGCAGACUGAUAAAAGAAGUUUAACCAACAUUCAGUAUGACUCAAAGAGUAGAAGAUAUUCUCUCAUUCUUAUAAGAUGUUCUAGCAUUUUCUAAUUUGGAUAUAUAUAGGCACAUUUUAGCUUCUUUGUUCACUCAUUUAUGUCCAUAUUUAGUCCAUAUUGAAAAUUCCAAAACAUGAGAUAUAAGGGAUCAUAUUCACUCAUGCUUUCUUUUAUAUGAUUGAACUCUUCCACAACAAAAUUUAUGGAGUUAAUUAGACGUGCAUCCAUUCAAGCAAUCUAUAUUCCGGAUUGUACCUGGCAGUGAUACAAAGACGACUUGGGAGUGACGUAUUACCGAUGCCGAGGAUGACGGUGAAGCUGACGCCGAUGGUUCAACAUGCCCUCCUCUUCCUAGACAUAGCGCUGUCACGUGAGGCACAGUGAGUAUCAAUUACUAUAAAAAUAUAGUUCAAUUCUAAAUACUCCCAAAGAAUACAGAGAGAGUAAACCAAAUGGAAAAAACCUGCUAAACCGAGUAAACUACUUGAUUGAGUAGAUUAGUCAACGGUUGCCAACCAUAUAACCGAGACAAGUAGUUCAUACAAUACACCAUUUGCUCUUUCUACAGGUAUGUAGCGAAGUGAAGGAAUCUAUAAUAGAGGACAUCACAAUUUAAUUGCAGGACCAAUACACACAAUGCUCUUAAACAGAUAUAUUUAUGUUCAUUUACAAUUUCUCCGUAUGGGCACAUAUAAAACAAACUAUGAAGGAGCUAUGCAGGGAUCAACAACAGGCUACAGGAGUACAUAUAGCCAACAGUCACAUAUAUGAACAUCAAGCCUGCACGAUCAUAACCGGGAUUAACCCAAAAUCAAAUGUCUCAAGCUUUUUCAUACCUUGAAAUCGACAGCAUUAGAGAUAGAGACAUUCAUAUUUGCAUAUGCAAAAACCAAAGAACUAAACAUCAACCGCGUGCAGGGCAGACAUAUACGUGGUUGAAUGAGUUUGUAUUAGGAAACUUGGCGGCCAAGAUGAGUACAUGCACAGGAAAAUGCUCUCAACACUCCAUUGAGUUUCACUACAAAUAAAACUGAAAAAUGCCAUUGAAUCACCAACAGCAGGAUAAUACAUACAACAUGCCUAGGUACGUUGUUGCAACAUACAGUCUUGAUUCAACUUCCUCUAACCUGCCUUCA